UGGUCCUGGUCCCGGUCCCGGUCCCGCGGUGGCGGGCGAGGCCCCGUGUGGGAGCCCGCGGGUGUCGUGAACAUAGGACGGGCUUUUCCUUGGAAACAACGAGAGGAGAAAAGGGCAGCAUAACAAAUGACAAGUGAGCUGGGCUUUCAAGCACCUCCUAGAACAAUAAAAGCAUCAAAGAAUCCUUUGCUGGGAAAAGUAGCACUAUUGACUUGGUUCUUGAACGACUUGUUGAUAAAAUUCUUUGCGACGCAGAUGGUCCGG